rnacentral:rRNA from 1 species
AAUGAACGUUGGCGGCGUGGAUUAGGCACGCAAGUCGUGCGGCAGCAGGCCCCGCAAGGGGCGCUGGCGAGCGGCGAAAGGGUCAGUAACGCGUGGAUACCUACCCUCGGGCCCGGGAUAGCGGCGGGAAACUGCCGGUAAUACCGGAUGACGUCCCUGGACCAAAGGUGUGAUUCCGUCAGAGGAUGGGUCCGCGUCCUAGUAGCUAGUUGGUGGGGUAAUGGCUCACCAAGGCAAAGAUGGGUAGCGGGUGUGAGAGCAUGGACCGCGACCCUGGGACUGAGAGACUGCCCAGACACCUACGGGAGGCUGCAGUCGAGAAUCUUCGGCAAUGGGCGAAAGCCUGACCGAGCGACGGCGCGUGCGGGAUGAAGGCCCUUGGGUUGUAAACCGCUGUCAGAGGGGCGGAGAGCUAUUGGGGUUCUCUCCAGUAGUUGACUUAACCUCAGAGGAAGCACGGGCUAAGUUCGUGCCAGCAGCCGCAGUAAAAC